rnacentral:rRNA from 1 species
CCUACGGGAGGCAGCAGUGGGGAAUAUUGGACAAUGGGCGAAAGCCUGAUCCAGCAAUGCCGCGUGAGUGAUGAAGGCCUUCGGGUCGUAAAGCUCUUUUACCAGGGAUGAUAAUGACAGUACCUGGAGAAUAAGCUCCGGCUAACUCCGUGCCAGCAGCCGCGGUAAUACGGAGGGAGCUAGCGUUGUUCGGAAUUACUGGGCGUAAAGAGUACGUAGGCGGUUAUUCAAGUCAGAGGUGAAAGCCCGGGGCUCAACCCCGGAACUGCCUUUGAAACUAGAUAACUAGAGUCUUGGAGAGGUUAGUGGAAUUCCGAGUGUAGAGGUGAAAUUCGUAGAUAUUCGGAAGAACACCAGUGGCGAAGGCGACUAACUGGACAAGUACUGACGCUGAGGUACGAAAGCGUGGGGAGCAAACAGGAUUAGAUACCCUGGUAGUCCACGCCGUAAACGAUGAUAACUAGUUGUUCGGUCACUUGGUGACUGAGUGACGCAGCUAACGCAUUAAGUUAUCCGCCUGGGGAGUACGGUCGCAAGAUUAAAACUAAAUGAAUUGACGG